rnacentral:rRNA from 1 species
UACGGGGGGGAGCAAGCGUUGUUCGGAUUUACUGGGCGUAAAGGGCGCGUAGGCGGCGCAACAAGUCACUUGUGAAAUCUCCGGGCUUAACUCGGAGCGGCCAAGUGAUACUGUCGUGCUAGAGUGCGGAAGGGGCUACUGGAAUUCUCGGUGUAGCGGUGAAAUGCGUAGAUAUCGAGAGGAACACCUGCGGCGAAGGCGGGUAGCUGGGCCGACACUGACGCUGAGGCGCGAAAGCCAGGGGAGCGAACGGG